rnacentral:sRNA from 1 species
ACUACCAAUUAAAGCCAUAAAAACCCUUAUUAAAACGACUAAGGACAUCUCUAACCUUACUCUAUUUUAAAGUCAAAAAUGCAAAAUUCUUCUCCAAACCUACUCUAUAAUUGACUCAAAAAUAGAGAUUUCUGCAGAUUGACUCUAUAUAUAGAGCAACUCUAUUCUCAACUCUAUUUUUGAGUUCAACAUUUUUAUUUAUACUUUAGUCCCUCAAAUGUAAACUU